GCUGUUUCAGCCGCUGCUCCUGCUGCUGGUGGUGCUGCUGCCCCUGCAGCUGAGUCGAAGAAAGAAGAGAAGGUCGUGGAGAAGGAAGAGAGUGAUGAUGUAAGAUCACUAUUCCCACCUGUCCCCUUGUUACGAACUUGUAUCAUCUCUAUAAUAACUGGCCUUGCAGAUUAUGAACCUGAUAAUGUUCUUGUUUUGAUGUUGUUUUCAUUCAUUUUUUAAGAUAAUGUACUAACUGUUUGUGCGUCUGCUUCUACUUGCAGGACAUGGGCUUCAGUCUGUUCGACUAAGUCGUGGGGCAUCUUGUGUCUGCAGUAUCUAUCCUUGGCCAGGAAACUAGAGUCAAUGAUGUUUUAGCCUUUAUUUAGCUGAGUUGUGAAACGCUGGCAAGACAAUGUUUUGAUAUGUAAUUCAGCCCCUGGUUGCUGGUUGAUUUACUGGUGAACCAUACCUUUGCUAUCCAAUUUUGGUGCUUUAACAAUGCAUUGUUUUGAUAUGUUCUGCCUGUUCCAUGUAUCCUCUAUGGCUUCCCCAUUUUCUUAAGUGUUUGGUCGACCUAAUUCAGAUUUCUUUGUAAAUCGGCACAUCCUUGAGUGUUAAGUGCCAUGGUCGUUACAGCAAAGCAAAUCUCAUUCUGCUUAGUACACCAAAGGAUUUUCA
rnacentral:lncRNA from 1 species